CGCGCUGCUAAUUGUUCGGCUUCUCUUUUAGGAUUGGCUGCGGUUCCUAUCCAUAAUAUAAUUAAAACAAACGAGGCAAAGGGUCCCCCCCUCCAAGCAUCAACAGAGGUUAACGCGAGGGUUUAACAACGUUUCGCUGAGUUUGGGCGUUCACACAAUCCCUGCCUGAACUCAGCUUCCCCUUCACUUAGCCAGCCCAACUGGGGAGCUUCGUUGUCCUUCUGGCCUGAGCUUUCCCAAACUGGUGUGGAAAAGUAAAAGCAGCCUGGGCGGAACUGGAGCACCGUGGAGUGGAUAUUCUGCAAGUCCGAGGGAGGGCGCAGUUCAGCAAAGUGUGUGUCACUGAAUCGCUGGUCAAGAUGCGCUCCAUUCGUGUCACUCCAAGCUUCUUUGGAUUCCCUUUUACUGCAGACGGACUUCGAGUCAUUCGCGGGUCGGGGCAGCGAGAAUGGCAACGGAACAGUCUGCUUCCCAGCUCGACCGGAGGGGCUGGAUGGAUUUAAAGGCCGUCCUGUGACUCCAGCGGGUUUGUGGUUUGCAUCUCCUCCUAUUAAACCGAUUAGAGGCAAGCCAGGAGAAACGGUUGGCUUAAAACGCCACAGAAACAAGUUUCACUGAAGUCAUGAGGAAACACUGGCAAGCAAGCUUGAUUGUGUUUUAGGGGGGUCAGGCUACAGCUUGACAGGUUUAUUCGCAGAGGCCUGUAUCAUCUUUCCGCCAAACCUUCUUUUUCUUCAGAUUAUUAAUUUAUGCAGAAAUCCGGGAGUCUUGAAGGCCAGCUGACAUCUGGCGGGCUGCAUCUCCCGCUCCUCUUCCCUCCCGCCCCCACCCCAGCAGUUCCAGUUACACAAAUCGACUAGGGGAGUAGAAAAUACUUGUUUGUGGGUGGGUGGUAUCAAUAAAGUGUCAGCGCUGGCUUGUUCGACGCGCCAUCGAGGAACUGGAGCGCUCCUAGGUUCUUAAGCCAUUUCCCAAUGUUAUUAAUCGACAAACUAGAGAACUAUUUGAAUGUAUGAAGGACUGCCCAAGCUCGCCGCAGAUUUAAGAUGCGACGGACCCAGCUCCGAUCUCAAGUCCUGUUUGAAAUGCACUAUGGUACUUAAAUCCUAUGUGCAGAAAUUUCUGCCCUGCUGAAGAAUCUCUAAGAGAAGUCUUGCUAGGGUGACUUUCGCUUCUCUCUCUCUCUCUCUCUCUCUCUCUCUCUCUCUCUUCCUGCCCCUCUACAUACAACAAAUAUGGACACUAUAUUUAAACAGUUGUUAUUUGCAUGGUUUCUUUCUCAUCUCUACUGUAAUGUCGUCGCCCCCCCCCGCACAUUUUAUAAUUUGUCUUGGGCAAUAUUUAAAGGUAAAGAUAAAAAUAAACAUCUCUCUGUGA